rnacentral:rRNA from 1 species
GGGGGGGGGGGGGGGGGGGCUUGGGGGGUGCGGGGGGGGGGGGGGGGGCCGGCUGUGGGGGGGGGCUGGACUGGCGAGCGGGGGAGUAGCGCGUGCGUAACCUCGGCUUUGGCUUGGGGUGACUUCAGGAACCUGGGGAGACUACCGGGUGGGAGCGACUGCUGCCUGGUGUUGAUUGGACAGUUUCGGGGGUUGGGGAUAGACUCGCGGCUUAUCAGCUUGUUGGUGUGGUAGUUGCUUACCAAGGCUUUGACGGGUAGCCGGCCUGAGUGGGUGACCGGCCACAUUGUGACGGAGCUACGGCCCAGACUCCUACGGGAGGCAGCAGUGGGGAAUAUUGCACAAUGGGCGGAAGCCUGAUGCAGCAACGCCGCGUGCGGGAUGACGGCCUUCGGGUUGUAAACCGCUUUCGCCUGUGACGAAGCGUGAGUGACUGUAAUGGGGAAAGAAGCACCGGCUAACUACGU